rnacentral:rRNA from 1 species
CACGUAGGGGGCGAGCGUUGUCCGGAUUUAUUGGGCGUAAAGAGCUCGUAGGCGGUUGGGUAAGUCGGGUGUGAAAACUCCAGGCUCAACUUGGAGACGCCACCCGAUACUGCUCUGACUUGAGUUCGGUAGGGGAGUGGGGAAUUCCUGGUGUAGCGGUGAAAUGCGCAGAUAUCAGGAGGAACACCGGUGGCGAAGGCGCCACUCUGGGCCGAAACUGACGCUGAGGAGCGAAAGCGUGGGGAGCGAACAGG